UACAAUAUGUAGAUGAUCUCUUACUUUGUUCACUAAACAAGGAGACCUAUAAAAAGGAUUCCACUUAAUUGCUCUCAGCCCUAGCAGAAAAAGAACAUAAUAUUUCGAAGAUAUAUUAUAAAUUUUCCAGAGCACAGCCCAUUAUUUGUGGCAUGACCCAUUUAAGGAGGAAAAAGCAUUAUCUCCUUUUAGACUAUCAAAACUCUUUCUAGACCCUUUUCAAGGUGGCAACAGAGAGCUCCUCUAGAUAUGGCUAGAUAUUGCAGACAAUGGGGACCAAAUUUUUUCUAUGAUUGCAAUAGCUCUUUACAAAUUGGCUAAAUCCCGGUCUAUGAUGUGGGAGCUCAAACAUGAGCAGGUGUUCUGUAAUCUGAAGACAGCCCUUCAACAGCCUCCUUCCUUAGUCAUCCCUAACUAUUAUAUAAAAAGUCAUUCCAUUAAUUUGUGCAUGAGUGUUAUGGACAUGCCCUUAGGGUUUUAGCUUAGUUUCAUGGGAUUCAUGAAAAUCCUAUUUAUCACCAUAGCCUCAAUUUUGACUCAGCUGUGGUGGCUUAUCCUUCUUGACUUAAGACAACAGGUAACAGCUACAAAACUUUUCAAUGCUUGUGCUAAACUAGUUCUAGGCUCUCUGCUUGACCUCAUGGUUCCUCAUGCAGCACAGAAAUUACUACUGACUGAGUAUAUAUAACACUUUUUAGCCAAUUUACUAGCAUCUAAUACUCUAUCUUUCUCUCACAUUACUAUUUAUCACUCCGACACACUGAGUCCUACUGCUCUCCUGCCCCACCUGAAAUAAGUGCAACAUCAUGAUUGUCUAAUUUCGGUUAGGGAACUUUAUUUGCCUCACUCCGAUACAUUAAAGAUCCUCCUGAGAAACCUGAUCUAAUUGGUGAAUCAUAUCUCAAAACUGAAACUAGAAGUUAGUAAACAGGAUGUGCCAUCAAUAAUUUAAGAAGAUAGGUUUUAAAAUAUAGUCCUCUACUAGAAUUAAAAUCAUCCCAUAUUGCAGAACUUCUUACACUUACUAGUGUUUGUCAACUAGCUAAAUUCCAGGGAUAAAAUAAAUAGAUAGAUGGAUAGGUGGAUAGAUAGCAGAUAAUCUUUUUGGAGUAGUACAUGACUUUGGUAUGCUUUCAUGACAAGGGGGUUUCUUAUCUCUGCUUGGACCUUUCUAAAAAUGGACAAUAAGUGAAGUAACUUUUACAUGUACUCCUACUACCUACAGAGAUGACUAUAAAUGUUGGAACUUAUGGAAAGAGAGACCACUUAAAGGAAAUACUCAAGCAGAUCAUUAUGCUCAACAAGCUAAACCCUCAAAGGAUAAAUCUCUGGUGAAACUGUGAAAACGAAGAGUGGAAAAAUUAUAGUUGUACUCUUCAUUGAUAUAAUCUCUGAAAUGCUCAAGGUGGUUGCUUAUGGCACCAGAUCAUUUCAAGUGGAUAUUAACUAAAUUUCUUCAUUAAACUACUCAUCAUGGAAUAUAAAAAUCGUAUACUUCAUCUAUUGGAAGAGGCAUCAGAGGAAAACUUCUCUUGUUCUCAUUGGAAGAGACCUUGUCAGGAGGAACACCAACAAAAGCCCUGGAGAGACUGUUUAUUAGAUCCUGCUUCAUCCCACUCAGGAGGUUUAUAUUUGUCUUUUAUUUGCUCAGCAAUCUAUUAUAUUUGUUCAUCUUGGACAAAAGGAGAGCCUGACACUGUGGAACUUUACCUGAGCUCUGUGUUCCUGGAAAACAGUGACACCGAUGAUUAAGAAAUCCCUCCAUCGUUUGUGUUCCUGAGAAAGACUUACUUCAGUGAAAACAUCCUGCUUCAUACGACUUAGAUAAGUCUUCCUGUCUACUUUUUCUCAUGACUCCAGUAAGAUUCAUGUGUACAGGUGUUUGUGGACAACUGAUUUUUGAUGAAGGUGCCAAGAUCAUUCAAGGGGGAAAGUAGUCUUUUAAACAAAUGGUUCUGGGGAAACUGAAGAGCCAAAAGCAAAAUAAUUAAGUUGAAUUCUUACUUUACAGUAUCUUUUUGAAAAAUUCAAAAUGGACUGAAGAUCUAAAUAUAAAAACUCAAACUAUAAAAACUUAGAAGAAAAUAUAGGAGUAAAUUUUCAUGACCUUAGAUGCAAUAAUAGAUUUUUAAAUAUGACACCAAAAGCACAAGCAGCAAAAUAAAAAUCUAGCAAUCGAGCUUUAUCAAAAUUAAAAACUUUUGUGCUUCAAAGAAUAUUAUCAAGAAAGUCAAAAGACAACCAACAGACUAUAGAGAUACUUGCAAGACAUAUAUCUGAUAAGGAAUUUGUAUGUAGAAUAUAUAAGGAACUCCUCAAAUCAAUAAUAAAAAAAGACAAAUAACCUAAUUUUAUCAGUGAUAAAUAAUUUAAAGACACAUUCUUUCAAGAGAGAUAAAUAAAUGGCCAACACAUAUAUAAAAAGAUGCAUGGCAUCACUACUCAUCAAGUAAAUACAAAUCCAAACCACAAUGAGAUAAAGUAGUAUACCCACAAUACCCACAAGGACAGUUAGAAUCAAAACGUCAGAUAAUAAUAUGAGUUGACAAGAAGGUGGAGAAAUUUGAAUCCUCAUAGACUGUUGCUGGAAAUGUAAAAUAGUGCAAGAACUUUGGAAAACAAUCUGGCAGUUUCCUCAAAUGAUAAGACAUAGAUUUACCAUAAGACUCAGAAAUUUCCCACCUAUGUAUAUAGUCAAGAGAAAUAAAAACACAAAAUGUAAACAAAUGUUUACAGCUCUAAUAUUCAAUACUCAUAAAAGCUAAAAGUUGAAAUCAACCCACAUGCAUACCAACUGAUGAGUGAAUAAACAAAAUGUGAUAUAUUUAUAUAGUAGAAUAUUAUUUGCCCAUAAAAGAAAUCAAGUAGUUAUACAUGCUAUAACAUGAAUGAACCUUGAUUACAUUAUGUUAAGUGAAGAUGUCAAUCACAAAAGGCCAUGUAUUUUAUGACCUAUUUAUAUAAAAUGUCCAGAAUAAGCAACCUAUAGAUUUCAUCAUCUAUAGGUAUAGAAAGUAGGUUAAUAAUUGCGUAGAGAUGGGAAGGAUUAGUGGGUAGUGUGGGAAAUGAUAGCUAAACGGUAAUUUUUUUGAGGUAAAAAAAUUUUCUAAAACUGUGAUGAUAGAUUCAAAAUAUAUGAAUAUACUAAAAGCCACAGUAUUAUAUA